rnacentral:rRNA from 1 species
GUCGAGCGAAUGGAUUAAGAGCUUGCUCUUAUGAAGUUAGCGGCGGACGGGUGAGUAACACGUGGGUAACCUGCCCAUAAGACUGGGAUAACUCCGGGAAACCGGGGCUAAUACCGGAUAACAUUUUGAACUGCAUGGUUCGAAAUUGAAAGGCGGCUUCGGCUGUCACUUAUGGAUGGACCCGCGUCGCAUUAGCUAGUUGGUGAGGUAACGGCUCACCAAGGCAACGAUGCGUAGCCGACCCUGAGAAGAGUAAUCGGCAACACUGGGACUGAGAAACGUGCCCAGACUCUCUACCGAAGGCAGCAGUAGGGAAUCUUCCGCAAUGGACGAAAGUCCGACCGAGCAACGCCGCGUGAGUGAUGAAGGCUUUCGGGUCGUAAAACUUCUGUUGUUAGGGAAGAACAAGUGCUAGUUGAAUAAGCUGGCACCUUGACGGUACCUAACCAGAAAGCCACGGCUAACUACGUGCCAGCAGCCGCGGUAAUACGUAGGUGGCAAGCGUUAUCCGGGAAUUAUUGGGCGUAAAGCGCGCGCAGGUGGUUUCUUAAGUCUGAUGUGAAAGCCCACGGCUCAACCCGUGGAGGGUCAUUGGAAACUGGGAGACUUGAGUGCAGAAGAGGAAAGUGGAAUUCCAUGUGUAGCGGUGAAAUGCGUAGAGAUAUGGAGGAACACCAGUGGCGAAGGCGACUUUCUGGUCUGUAACUGACACUGAGGCGCGAAAGCGUGGGGAGCAAACAGGAUUAGAUACCCUGGUAGUCCACGCCGUAAACGAUGAGUGCUAAGUGUUAGAGGGUUUCCGCCCUUUAGUGCUGAAGUUAACGCAUUAAGCACUCCGCCUGGGGAGUACGGCCGCAAGGCUGAAACUCAAAGGAAUUGACGGGGGCCCGCACAAGCGGUGGGAGCAUGUGGUUUAAUUCGAAGCAACGCGAAGAACCUUACCAGGUCUUGACAUCCUCUGACAACCCUAGAGAUAGGGCUUUCUCCUUCGGGAGCAGAGUGACAGGUGGUGCAUGGUUGUCGUCAGCUCGUGUCGUGAGAUUGUUUGGGUUUAAGUCCCGCAACGAGCGCAACCCUUGAUCUUAGCUGCCAUCAUUAAGUUGGGCCACUCUAAGGUGACUGCCGGUGACAAACCGGAGGAAGGUGGGGAUGACGUCAAAUCAUUCAUGGGCCCCGUUUAUUGUAGCCUGGGCUACACACGUGCUACAAUGGACGGUACAAAGAGCUGCAAGACCGCGAGGUGGAGCUAAUCUCAUAAAACCGUUCUCAGUUCGGAUUGUAGGCUGCAACUCGCCUACAUGAAGCUGGAAUCGCUAGUAAUCGCGGAUCAGCAUGCCGCGGUGA